rnacentral:rRNA from 1 species
UUUUCCGUGACGCCUUGAGAGUUCUGAAGGAACGUUGAAGACGACGACGUUGAUAGGCCGGGUGGGGUAGUGCAGCGAUGCGUUGAGCUAAACGGGACUAAUGAACGGUGAGGAUUAACCUUACAACGCCGAAG